AUGCAGAAUGAUCAUAUUUCCCAGCAGCAGCUUGACGAUAAGGUGCUGGAGCUAGAGCAGGAGAUAGAGCAGGAGCUAGAGCGGGGGUGGAAACAGAAGAGAGAGCAGAAGGCCACAACAGCAGUGCUUCAACAAGUGGGAUGCGCCGUGCUACCCCCCUGGACAUUCAGUGUGGCCCCAUCAAAACAAUCUGUCACCGAGGAAAUACUUCAACAAGCCAGACGGACCAUGUGUCCUUGGGUAUGCAUCUUUGCCCCCUGUACAGCUGGGUCGUCACAACUACCAACCUCUGUGGCGCAGCCACCACCAUCAAAACAGCAGUUGACUUCUAGCAGUGAGUUUGGACCUCAUGAGGCACCCCAGCCAUGCUUCAACAAUUGCAGUGGAGCCAGCUACCAUGGGUAUUAA
rnacentral:rRNA from 1 species